CAAGGCGUCGUUGACGACCUCGGACUUGGACUCGGCCACCCUUGGCUUAAUUUGCGUGGACUUGAUAAAGGCGCAAAGUCGUUUCCGAUAAAAAGGCCAACGCAAGGGGAAAUAUUU